GAUGAACGCUAGCGACAGGCCUAACACAUGCAAGUCGAGGGGCAGCAUGAAAGUAGCUUGCUACUUUUGAUGGCGACCGGCGCACGGGUGCGUAACAGGUGUGCAAUCUGUCCAUAAUCGGGGAAUAGCCCAGCGAAAGUUGGAUUAAUGCUCCAUGUGAGUUUUAGAGGCAUCUCUUUAACUUGAAACGUAAGGAUUAUGGGUGAGCACGCUUCUGAUUAGGUAGUUGGUGAGGUAACGGCUCACCAAGCCGACGAUCAGUAGGGGUUCUGAGAGGAAGGUCCCCCACAUUGGAACUGAGGCACGGUCCAAACUCCGACGGGAGGCAGCAGUGAGGAAUAUUGGUCAAUGGACGCAAGUCUGAACCAGCCAAGUCGCGUGAAGGAUGAAGGUUCUAUGGAUUGUAAACUUCUUUUGUCUGAGGGUAAAAAAGCGGACGUGUCCGUUCUUGCAAGUAUCAGACGAAUAAGCAUCGGCUAACUCCGUGCCAGCCGCCGCCGUAAUAC
rnacentral:rRNA from 1 species